GUGUACAGCCAUGCCAUUCUGAAGAAGUCCGAUCCCGUCUGAUCUUGGAAGCUAAGCAGGGUCAGGUCUGGUUAGUACUUGCAUGGGAGACCACCUAGGAAGACCAAGUGCUGUAGGCG
ensembl:rRNA 5S_rRNA 5S ribosomal RNA